CAGAAAAGAGAAGAGAGAAUACACACUUAAGUAGUAUAGAUAAAUAUCUGGCUUUUGCCUUCAAUAAGUGUAGUCGCAGGACAGAGUAGAAGGUAAAAGGAGUGAACUUGUCUUUAUCCCAGACAACCUCAGUUCCCGUGGGCCCUCGUGGUCUGAGCAUCUUACAGUGCUGAAUGGCAGUCCAGUGUUUAAAGAUUUGUGGUUUUCAUACAACAUGACCUCCUUAUAGGAAUCUUACUUCAUUUAGUACUCAAUCAAAGAAAUAGCCAUUGGGUCCAGUUUUGAAAAAGAGGGUUUGGCUUCCUGAAAUACGGCAUGUCAUUCUCCAAAAGGGAGCCUUUCUAAAGGAUUUUCAGGGGUAAUCUUGAUGGUGCGUGAGUGUUGCUUCAUACAUUGAUUUUAGACCAUAACCCCCAUGGGACUCUACAGCACCAUGGCAUUCCCCGUAGAGCCACAAAGAUGAUUCUUCUUUGUUGGAGACUAAAACUUGAGAUAUAUUUAAUGAAUGGACCCACUGCUGUUGGAGAAGUAGAUGGACACUGUAAUAAGUUCUCUAGGGGAAUAAUGAUUCCUUAUGAUGAAAACGGCUGUCAUCUCCACUGAGAACAGAAGAGCAAGAAAUCGGUUUACAAUAUUGCAAAAAGGAUGUAUUUCAGAUACAGAAAGAUCUUCCAGAUCCUAAGUUGGCUUCUUGAGAGAGGUUUUAUGUGGAAACCUCUUCUUCUGUGGAAACCAUUCUUUUUAGCUUCAUUCUCUCUGGGGUGGUUUAUUACAAGCAUUUCUCAAAGUGUGUUUUAGCACUGCACAGGGUUUCCUCAAAAUAAGGAUUCUGUCAUCAAACACAUUCCAGGUCAUUUGAGAGGUGAUGACUUAGACAUAUGAGAGUGGGUAGAUAAAUUGUAUAGACUUGUAAUGACCCCUUCAGAGCACUGUCUAAAAUUUUUCUAGCUCACCUUAUCCCUCCCUUCAAGAAUAACAAAUCUUCACAGUUAUCCUUUAACACCACCACCCACAUUAGGAUUCUUUUUGAAUGUCUUAUUUUAUAGAGAGUUUCUAACUAUUCAACAGUUAAGAGCAAGAGGUCUUCUAAGGAGAGUCGUCUGUUCACCUCAUUGAUGGAUUAAAAGAAGCACAAAAGUUUUAACAAGUCUUCCAGAGACUGGAGCACAAGGAAGUUUUAGUGGUCUUGUUGUUCUUGGUUUUCCCGUUCAUUCCAGCCAGCAAUCUCUUCUUCAGGGUGGGUUUUGUGGUGGCCGAGAGAGUCCUUUACAUGCCUAGGUGCUGGCUGAAUUUCCUGCAAGAAGAAAGUAAGCUACUCUUGAGAUUUGAUGAAUAGAGUAUUUGGAAAGAAGCAAGGGAAGCAGUGUGAGGAUGCCCGGGCUCCGCUGAACCCCAACACAGCAUAAAAGCAUAAUGGUUAAGCCCAUUGUGGACUCCAAAGCCCAAAAUUCCUGGAUUUAAAUCUUUGCUCUGCUCAUUAUUAGCAGUGUGAGUCUGG